AUUGAACGCUGGCGGCAGGCUUAACACAUGCAAGUCGAGCGGGGAAAGGUAGCUUGCUACCUGACCUAGCGGCGGACGGGUGAGUAAUGCUUAGGAAUCUGCCUAUUAGUGGGGGACAACAUUCCGAAAGGAAUGCUAAUACCGCAUACGCCCUACGGGGGAAAGCAGGGGAUCUUCGGACCUUGCGCUAAUAGAUGAGCCUAAGUCAGAUUAGCUAGUUGGUGGGGUAAAGGCCUACCAAGGCGACGAUCUGUAGCGGGUCUGAGAGGAUGAUCCGCCACACUGGGACUGAGACACGGCCCAGACUCCUACGGGAGGCAGCAGUGGGGAAUAUUGGACAAUGGGCGAAAGCCUGAUCCAGCCAUGCCGCGUGUGUGAAGAAGGCCUUUUGGUUGUAAAGCACUUUAAGCGAGGAGGAGGCUACUUGGAUUAAUACUCUAGGAUAGUGGACGUUACUCGCAGAAUAAGCACCGGCUAACUCUGUGCCAGCCGCCGCAGUAUAC
rnacentral:rRNA from 1 species